rnacentral:lncRNA from 1 species
CUCCUCUUCAAGCUCUAAAUGAAGAUCUUUCACUGUUUUCCUUUGGGUAGAAAGAACCUCAAGUAAAGCUGCACAUUCGUUCUCAACUAGUACCUUAGCGUUUGAAGACGAAUCAGAGGAACCUCGUAGCAACAACAUGUUCCCUUCUUUGAAUUCGUUGAACUUCCUUUUCACCGUUCUAGUCCAAGGGUCUGAAGAACAUGCCUCGAGAGAAUAAUCACAACCCAAAUCACAGCCUUUCACCACAUCUCUUGAAGCAAAUCUCAAUUCUGAAUCCAUGGGUUAUAUACCCAAAACCCAAAUCUCAAAUGCUAAGAUACAGACAGAUUAAGCACGUUCCCAAAAACCCUAGCUUUUAAGAAUCUAAUAAAAGCAGUAACCUUUGUUUCAUCCUCCAAUUGAAUUAACCACAACAAUGAAGCCACACAACCUGGAAUAAACAAACAUUACCAUUAAACAAAAUGCAAGAAAGUUUCGGCUCAGCGGAAAGAGAAGAUAAGUUCAUAAUUCACAAGACCCAAAGAAAGUGAUUCACAAGAAAAAGAUAUAAUCUUUAUACCUCGAGACAAGACUUGAAGAUAUGGGCAGCUACCUAAUUCACAAAGAUCUCUCCUUCCGGGAAAAAAAUGAAAAUUUUCCUCCUGUUUCCCGGGAAAAAAAACAGAGGAAAAUGUAAGAAACGGCGGGAUAAACCGGAGGGAGAGGAAGGAGGAGAAUCCAAAAGUUGUUCCAAGCAAAGAAGAGGAAAGAAAGAGACAAUUUAGAAGGAUAAGAAUGUCUUUUGAAUCUGUGUUUGAUUCUUCAUCUUCCUCUCUCUCCCUCUCUCCCUCCCUCCCUCCUUUAUCGGAACGUGUUUCAAAGUUCUUGGACUACGUGCCCACAGAGAGAGCGCAAAGGGAUAUUAUCAUAUGAAAUAAAUUUCCCCUUUUUUUGGGGUGUAAAAGCAAAAGCUAAAUCAAUAAUAGUACUAAACAGAACGAUCCAAAGUUCAAAAACUUAUAAUCUCAUAUGGGGGCAUAGAGUUCGAAAUUAGAAUCCUUACCUUUAAGAUUCAAGUUUUGGUUCACGAUUAGAUUCAAAAUGCUUACCUACUCUACUGAUUGACCCACCAGAACUUCUAAAAGUCUGAAACCAAGCAAAUAUCAUAAACUUGAAACUUCAAACCAGCUUUGAUUAUAUCUUUUGAAAGUUUUUAUCUUUAUAUGAGAUUGGAUCAUUCCUUGGCUUCAACAUACAUACAUAUAGUUUAUAUGUAUUUAACAUAUUUUUUUUUUGGUUUAAGGAGGAUUUAAAAAAAAAACUUUAUACAUAAAUGAGGUAGGCAUGACAUUUGUCAAUUGGGUAGAUAUAGUUUUCAUUGGUUUUGUUGGAUUUUGACUCACAUGGAUUUUGUGUCAGUUCUUUAAAUUGUGUAAUUGUGGCAGAAAUUAAAGCUCGAAAAUUAAAUACAGUUAGUUGUAACUGUAAAUUUUAGGUACACGUGAUUAUUUUUCUUAGAGAUUACAAUAUUAAAAAGUAAGCAAAAGUUUUGUUUUUCUUUCUUUUUGAUUCAGCAAAACUUAAAUACACAAGGAAACUGAAAAUGAAAAUUAAGAAAUGAGAUUAUGGUCAAUAAAAAAUCUCUUGUCAAUUAGUAUUAAAAAAAGUUUGGAAGAAAGUGAACUCACCACAUUAUAUGACAAUCAACUGUCAACGAAACGUUUCUGUUUUACAAUUCUCUAAAAAUCUAUAUUUAAGUCCGUAAUUGAAUUAGUCCUCUUGCAGUUUUGUGGACUACAUUAUCCCGCGCAAAUAGUAGAGCUGACUCUUGUGGUCAACGUCACCAUCCCUAAAAUCUAUGUAUAAAAUUCUCCUCUGCACUAGUGGUACACGAACCAAGCUCAUUCAAUGUCGUCCACACAGAACAAGAUGAUGUCUACCGAGCAGCCCUCUCUUCCGGUUCCGGUGCUCUUACCUUCGCCACAACCUAGUACCCCAAACGAGUCACUUCCCGAUGAUUUGCUGUUGAGCUGCUUCGCACGUGUCUCGAGAUUGUACUACCCAACUCUCUCUUUAGUAUCCAAGAGGUUCCGAUCACUCAUUACUUCACCGGAGCUUUACAAGAUCCGAUCCCUCUUAGGCCACACCGAGUUCUGUCUCUAUGUGUGCUUUCAGUACUAUAAUGGGAUUCAUGGCCCAAACACACGUUGGUUCACUCUCUGCCGCAAACCUGAUCAAUCCUUUAGCAAGAAGAAGAAGAAGAAGAAGAAGAAGAAGUCAAGUGGGUAUGUCUUUGCUGCACUCCAAAUUCCCAAUUAUCCUCCUGUGCGCUCCUCGAAUCUAGUGGCCGUUGGUUCUAAUAUCUACAACGUUGGCGGAUCCAUUUACAAUGCGCCCUUGUCUAAAGUCUCGGUCUUGGAUUGUCGGUCUCACACGUGGCGAGAGGGCCCGAGUAUGCAGGUGGAACGGUAUUGGUCAGCGGUGAACGUUCUUGAUGAAAAGAUAUAUGUAGCAGGAGGGUGUAAAGAACACAAUUCCUCAAAAUGGAUGGAGGUCUUCGAUCCAAAAACGCAAAGUUGGGAGCAUGUGUUGAGCCCUCUCAGGGAGAGAUGUGGAAGUCACGUAUGGAGGAGCGCGGUGCUUGACGAAGAAAUCUACAUGUAUGGAACUUGGGGUGUGGCUUACAAGCCAAAUGCAAAUAGGUGGAAAGCUUUAGAAGAGGUUUGUUUGGAAUUAGGAUGGUUAGAGAAUCCUGAUUGUGUGAUAGAUAACAUAUUAUAUUGUUAUAGUGAGUCUCAUGGGGUAAGAUGGUACGACUCUAGGAUAAGGUACUGGAUACGUUUGAAAGGUUUGGAUAGGUUGCUGCCAAUGUUUGCUAAAUCUGGUUAUGUCAAAUUGGAGAAUUAUGGUGGGAAGAUGGCGUUUUUGUGGGAUAAGUAUCUGCCUUCCAGUGGAGACAAGGAGAUUUGGUGUGCGGUGAUUGCGAUUCAGAGACGCAACUUUGAAGAGAUGUGGGGAAAAGUGGAGUGGCUUGAUGCUGUGCUUACAGUGCCUUUCUCUUAUGAAUUCGUGUCAGCUCUUGUUGCUACCGUAUGAUAUGCAAAAACAUACAACUUGAGUGUGGUGAACUUUUUGGUUUAAUGGGCUCUUAUAGAGGCUUGCUUCCCCCCUACUCUCUAUUUUUAUAAUAUCGUUUGUUGGGGUUCAAUAUAUUGUUAGGCCCAAUAAUAAUACAAAAAGGUGGGCGUUAUUACAAAUCUGAUGGAUGUCCUCACUCCUCUCCUAGCUUAAAAUUGAUGAUACUCUCCAAGACUCUCAAACCCAUCCAUUAAACUGAACUCUUGUUUUCAUUAUUUCCAAUAUAAAUGGUUUCCUUUGUGCAGUUGUAAACAGAGAGAACUGAACUGACCAUUACCUUUCAAAGAUGCACCGCUUGCAAGUUGAGUGCUUCAGAGCAGUGGAGCAUAUACUUCUUAAAUGCCUCUGUAAACAUAACAAAAGUCUGUUUAGUAGAUUGUUUCAAUUUUUCUAGGAGAAGUUCACUUAAUUGGUAAUGGGUGAGUAAGGCAUUAAUAGACUUUACAAAAUCUGCUAGAGUGUUGCAGGGGCUACACGGGAUGAUGUUUGCUUAGAUAUUUGGAAUAUGAUUGAACAACAUAGUAUUUUCUUUGUUGUGUACCAAGAUUUGUUUGUUUGUUUUUUAGGGAAUGACAAGUUUCGUCUACCAGAUUUAAAGUAGCCUAUUGUCUAAACCCAACACUAGCAAUGUCCCUAAAAUAUUUUGUCCGAAUGAUGAUGAUGACUAGUUGGAUCAUUAUCUUUAUGAAGGUGUACUGCAAAAGAUACGUUGAAGGACCCAUUUAGAUUUGUUCUCCCACGAUAGUGGCUGUCAAAUAUCUAAAUUUAUUAUACCCCAAUCAUUCCCUCAAUUCCCACGAUGCUCUUCCAAGAACAACAUCAACUUAUAAAUUUUGUUGAUAAGUUUUUUUUUUUCCCCCCCCUAGUGAAAUAGUUACCUGAACAUAGUGAUCUAAACCUAGGUGGUAAAUAAAACUUAUGGAUGUGGGUGGUAUUUAUACUUAGAUAGUCUUGCUAAAGUUUCUUCUAUUUGUCCAUCAAACAUAAGGAAAAAAAGAUAGUUAACCAACUUGUAAACAAUGUCAAAAAUAAAAAUGAUCUAGUAUUUGGAGCUAAUGCAGCAGCCAAACCCCAUGUUCUUGCUAACCAGUCGAUCUCACUUUUUUUUUUCAGCUUCAGUUUCUAACCUCGUGCCUUUUCUUGUCCUUGAGUGUUGCCUCCACUUUAAAUAAUUAAUGACAAAGACAAUAGAAAACAAAAAUUAAGGAAAAUCAUAUGAUAAUCACAAUGGAAUAUAUGUCAAGUAUUGUUUGACCCCAAUACAUCAUUGAGUAGUUGAGUCCUUUAAAAAUAAUUAAGAACAAAUAAACAGAAAAUGAAACUUAAAAAAUAAAAAAAAAUAGUAGUAUCACCCACUACUAAAAUAAACAAAGCAAUAUAUACUCUNNNNNNNNNNNNNNNNNNNNNNNNNNNNNNNNNNNNNNNNNNNNNNNNNNNNNNNNNNNNNNNNNNNNNNNNNNNNNNNNNNNNNNNNNNNNNNNNNNNNNNNNNNNNNNNNNNNNNNNNNNNNNNNNNNNNNNNNNNNNNNNNNNNNNNNNNNNNNNNNNNNNNNNNNNNNNNNNNNNNNNNNNNNNNNNNNNNNNNNNNNNNNNNNNNNNNNNNNNNNNNNNNNNNUCUCUCUCUCUCUCUCUCUCUCUGCAAUGUCACAGCCGCCUCUCACCACCACCAGACCUACCGUCGCCGGAAUGUCAAUAUUCCCUUUCCGACAUCAACCACCACCGCUCUGUGCUUUCCUCUUCAUCAUUGUCCUCUUUAUUGCCACUUUCUACACUCUCCAUCACCCAAACGCUACUCCUCCUUCUCUCUUCUCUCGAAAUUCCCACAAUGCCCUCGGUCUCCGCCGCCUCUUCCUCUCCUCCGCUUCCAACGCCACCAUCUCCUCUUACCUCCGCGAUUUGACCCGCCAUCCUCACCUCGCUGGAACUGAACCCUCUUUAGACACUCUCCACUACGUCUUUAACCAUUUCCAAAGCCUCGGACUUGACACCCAUGUCGCAGACUACGAGGCUCUCUUGUCUUAUCCUACGCACAUCUCCGUCACGGCACGUUUUAGCAACACGACGACUAUGGAGUUUGACUUAAACGACGCUCCAGGAGAUUCUUCAUCUUCCUCCUCUCAGGUAGUUAGGCCUUACCAUGCUUAUUCCCCAUCUGGGUCGGCGCAGGGUAACGUGGUGUUCGUGAAUCACGGCGAGGAGAGAGACUACGUUGCGCUUGAGUCGUUCGGAGUGAGCGUUAAAGGGUGUGUGGUUUUAGUGAGGAAAGGCGAAAACUUGGGAAGAGGAGGGAUUGUGAAGAUAGCAGAGACUAAAGGUGCACUUGGAGUGCUAAUAUACGCCGAGAACGACGGUGGUGGAUUCGGCGGUAUUGAGAGAGGUACGGUCAUGAGAGGAAUCGGAGAUCCGGUUAGUCCCGGUUGGCCCGGAGUCGUCGGAGGAGAAAAGCUGAGCUUGGAUGAUGACUUGGUCACUCGCAGGUUCCCAAAAAUCCAAUCUUUGCCUUUGUCUCGUCGAAAUGCUGAGAUCCUUUUGGCUUCUCUGGGAGGCGCUAGAGCUCCGGUGGUGUGGCGUAAUUCGGGUCGGGUUGGAUCGGGUCAACGGGUUGGACCUGGACGGACCGUUGUUAACAUGACGUUUCAGGUUCUCUGGAAAUUAUGUAGUUUUCCGUUAUGUUUUCUUGGUUUUGACUUUUGUAAAUUUCCGUUAUAUUCCUUCACUAUGUGAUUUAGUUUCCUUUUAAAACGUUUUUGUCUAAAAUUAGACCUGAAUUGACAUUUUUUACAACUGUAGCUCAAUUUGAAUUUUUUUUUUGUUUUUUUUUUGGGAUUUGAUUUUAGUUGAAAAGUGGGAUUUUGAGCUCAUUUGAAUUAUUUUUGGUUAACAUUAGGGGGAGAUAAAAAUGAAGAAAAUCCACAAUGUUGUGGUAACAAUAAGAGGGAGUGAAGAAGCGGAUCGGUAUGUGAUACUUGGGAACCAUAGAGACGCAUGGACAUAUGGAGCUGUUGAUCCAAACAGUGGAACUUCUGCUUUACUUGACAUUAGCCGACGUUUCUCUCUUUUGCUUAAAUCUGGUUGGAGACCUCGUAGGACCAUUCUCCUUUGUAGUUGGGAUGCAGAAGAAUUCGGAAUGGUUUGUCAUCCGUUACUUCGUAAAAGAUGAAUGAAUCUAUUUGAUUGAUUAUUCACUAAACCACUUUUGUCUCUUUUUUCUUGUUUGUCUUAUAGAUUGGAUCAACUGAAUGGGUUGAAGAAAAUGUUCUUAACUUAGGUGCAAGUGCUGUGGCUUAUCUUAAUGUAGAUUGUGCGGUCCAAGGCUCUGGUUUUUUUGCUGGUGCAACUCCUCAAUUAGACGGUCUUCUUGUCAAAGCCUUGAAGCUGGUACUAAUGCUAAAUAUGGGAGCAUUAUCAGACAUUAUGAAAACUUUCGUGGUUUACUCAUCGAGAAAUGUCUUCGUCUCUGAUAUUCAUUCAUCUUUGUGUGGUUAGGUACAAGAUCCUGAUGCAGUAGGCUUGACAGUGGAAGAUACAUUUAGGUCUCAGAAUAGCAUUGUGAGUAGACUAUNNNNNNNNNNNNNNNNNNNNNNNNNNNNNNNNNNNNNNNNNNNNNNNNNNNNNNNNNNNNNNNNNNNNNNNNNNNNNNNNNNNNNNNNNNNNNNNNNNNNNNNNNNNNNNNNNNNNNNNNNNNNNNNNNNNNNNNNNNNNNNNNNNNNNNNNNNNNNNNNNNNNNNNNNNNNNNNNNNNNNNNNNNNNNNNNNNNNNNNNNNNNNNNNNNNNNNNNNNNNNNNNNNNNNNNNNNNNNNNNNNNNNNNNNNNNNNNNNNNNNNNNNNNNNNNNNNNNNNNNNNNNNNNNNNNNNNNNNNNNNNNNNNNNNNNNNNNNNNNNNNNNNNNNNNNNNNNNNNNNNNNNNNNNNNNNNNNNNNNNNNNNNNNNNNNNNNNNNNNNNNNNNNNNNUAUUCCAGAAUAUGAUGUUCUAAAUGCAAGUAAUAUACCAAUAAUGUAUGUUGUUUAUCCUUGUUUCAGAUUAUCCUGUCUAUCACACCGCAUUUGACUCAUAUGAUUGGAUGAUCCACAAUGCAGAUCCAUUGUUUCACCGCCAUGUUGCUAGUAAAGCUUUUCUACUUCUCUCUUUCUAUCUAAUAUUAGUUUUUAGUCCUUUGUUCUGUUUUUUUCAUGGAUGCUAUAAAGAGAAUUAACUCUCUUCUUUGCUUUCUAUAUUUCUCAGUGGCUGGAAUUUGGGGGCUUUUAGGAAUUCUCUUGGCUGAUGAGCCAAUCAUACCAUUCGACUACACCUCCUAUGCAGGACAAUUACAGGUACUGUAUCUACUUUUACUUACUAUUUAUAUAAGUAGGAUGGAAGGAAACUGAGUUUUUGUUUUGUGCCAUGGUUCAGGCACAUAGAGAUACAUUGAGCAAGCUCUUACAAGGAAAAGUCUCUGUUGAUCCCUUAAGCAUGGCGAUACAAGAGUUCGAUUUGGUUGCCAAAAAAGCCGCAGAUGAAGCAAAGGUUUCUAAUGGUUUUUGCCAACUAAUGUUUCUCUUUUUGGUCUCACUUAUAUAUAUGUUUUGGCGGUUGAUUUGCAGAAAUUCAAGGAGAAAUCAUAUAGCAAAGAUGAUGUUGCAGCAGCAGCAAAGAGAAGAGAGCUAAAUGACAGGUUGAUGCUUGCCGAAAGAGGGUUUUUGGAUGCACAAGGGAUCAAAGGGAAGGAAUGGUUCAAGCAUCUUGUGAGUAACAUUAACUUAUUUUCAAUUAUAUUUCACCAAAUUUUCAAAUCUCAUGUGACCUUGUUUGUGUGUUUAUGCAUAGGUGUAUGGACCGGCGGCUGAACCAGAGAGCAAGCUAGGAUUUUUCCCGGGAAUAGCAGAUGCGAUUGCGAUACACGCAUCAGAAGGAGUAAUUGAGCAUGAGAUAUGGAGAGUAUCAAGAGCAAUACAGAGAGCAAGCAAAGCUCUUAAAGGAGGGUUCACAUGAAAAAAUCUAGAGACUUCUCUUUUGUGUAUAUAGUGUGACUGUAGAGUAGAUUGUAGUAGAAUAACGCCUUAUGAACUUAACACUAUAAUCUAAUCAUAUUCCACACUUUCAUGACUAAUAUCAACUUCUUUAAUUUGUUUAUAAGAAUCUUAGGUUUAAUAUCAACAACUUUAAAUUAUCAUGGCAAAGAACAAAUCCUGUCUUAAAAGUAAUAAAGAAAGAACAACCACCAAGUAAUCUUAUCAACUUUCCAAUGUAGUGUACCAUGGGGUUUCAUUUGUUCCUCUUUCUUCUCCACUAUUAACUACUUUUAAAGUGCUCAGCUUUACCACAAAUCUACCAAGAUUUCCAAACUCUCAAAUAUGUCGUUUCGUUUUUGUUCAUUACUUUACUUUAAGUCACUUAUGCUUUCAUCCACCAAAUUGUUGUUGAUCAUCAUGAAUCCUUAAACUAUGCAUCUUAAGUGGAUGACGUUUGAGAAAAAUUUAGACAUGUGAAGUUAAAUCUAAAGAACAUCAACAUACCAACUGCCACUAGCUCAUUCAUCAUCUUUUAUAACAAUCCAAUCCAAUUACUUUUUUUUAGAUGAACUAGAAUCUUUUCUUUCAUUAGUGGAUGGUCCUUUACUUUUCCCUUCAAACGUUUCUCUAUCUCUAUCUUCUCAGAUGCCAAUGAUUGGACAGUGAUGACUGUGUUUUCCUUUGGUUUUUGAUCCUUAGCUUUAGUACUUAUCUUCCAAAUUUAGUCUCAAAGAUUAUUUAUUCAAAGAAGAUCUAACGACGAACCUCGAUCCUUUGCCAACCUUCUUACACAAUCUGUCUCAAACACUCUUUUCUUUGAGAUUCAAAUUCACAUCCACCAUCGACUAUUACACUUCUUGUUCUCAUAUGUAGUAGAAUUUAGCAUCAUUAAAUGAAGUUUUUUUCUCGUAUUCAAAAAAUCGAACAUGUUAUUAUGUUUAUAAAUGAAUAUUACAAGUUUAUUGGUUGAAGCAGCUUAGAAAGAAGCUACUUUGUGAAGAAUAAUGAUGAUUGAGCUAAGAGGAUAAUAACGCAAAAACAUUUCAGUUUUAUGAGUUUUUCAGUAGACAAUUGAAAUGUCCUGUGAAGUUGCUUCUUCAAGUUUUGCACGUACUGUUUCAGCAGCCAACAUUUUAUCGAUGCUGCAAAAAGCAAAAGAUGUACAUACAAAUAUUAGUGCCUCAAGAAGCAAAAAGAUCAUAGUCAUUUUUGGUGGAACAUAGUACUCACCGAACAAGAACAUACUCAGAAGAUGCUUUUGUUUCAGUGAUCCAAUCCGGAACUAAUUGCAACAUCAAACUUAAUUGUUCCUCCACUUCCCCUGGGAAUGCAAACAAACAAAGAAACUGUGAGCCUGUGAAGGAAGAAGAGACAGAGGAAUUAUCAAAAAAUACGAUGUUAACUAUCCCUACUUCUAUUGGUUAUAUGGAUUUGGCUUGCAAUAAUCUUGUGAAGAAGCUCCUCCUUCGUGAUGACCGCUUGCUUUGUUGAGUGGAACAAUUUAUGAAUCAAAUUAACAAGCUGUGGUAAAUUUUCCUUCUCGAGUUCGGUCUUUGGUCUCUCUUUCAUCUGCAAGACACACACACAAUGGUAGUAAGUAAGAAUGGCUGUUUCAACACGGUUUGCAACUGAAAUAAAAUCAACCCAUUCAUACAAUCAGCCGGAAAAAAUGUGAAAGCAAAAUGGUAGCAAGGGAAAGCAUCACUUACUGACUGAAGAAGACCAUCUUCAUCAGCAACAUCAUCAGCUUCAAAGUUGAUUCCUUUACUGAUCUCAUCUGUCACAGUUGCAUCCUCAAGAGUGUCAAAGUUCAGACUGCGAGAUGGACCCUUUACUGACUGAAGGCGGCUACCUUCAUCAGAGGCAUCAUCAGCUUCAUCAUAAGAUUCGUUACCGAUGUCAGCUUUCACAAAUGCAUCUUCCUCAAAACUAUCAAAAUUCAGACUGCGGGAUGGACCCUUUGCCAAACUAUUUGUUGAUCUAACAGAUUUACCAUCAACACCACCAUCUGGAGUAAACUCAAUGCAUCUUUUAGAUAGCUGCAAUGUUGGUGUAGCACUCAUGACCCGGAUUGGUGUGGACAAGUCUUUGGAGGGAGUGGAUAAAUCUUUGACAGGGGUUUGAACUAUACUCGACUCUAUGUGUGAUAAUAAGCCUUCUUUAGUUCCAUCUGAUAAAGUCGAAUCUGGAAUCACUGUGUUGUUGACGAUUUCUUCUUCUUGCUCCAUCUCCUCCAUAUGAACAUCAAACCCUCCAACUUCAAGUUUAGGUGCUCCUAAGCCUACACUUACUGUAUCUGAAUAACUAUCCCUUCUGGGGGAAUUAAACGGUUCAGGAAGCGGUUCUUUCGGAAUAUCGUCCUGAAUACAGAUAACAGAAGAUACAUAACCAAAUCAGAUGUAAAAGCAUUUAUCCAAAAGCUACAACUAUACUAUCGAUAAGGGAAGCCUAUUAUGUACCUUAGGAUGAGCUUUGUAAAAAUCAACAAGCUUUGAGUGGAACAGCUUCCUAAGUUCCAUGUAUUUAGUUCCACAAGUUUUGUUGUCAAGCACAAUUGCGUCGGUAUUUAAGUUAACGUGAAGACUAGGUUUCAUACAACAACUGUCUUCAACAGACUUUAGAACUCUCUUAAGCUCAAUGGCUUCUGGAUAUAUAUGCUUCAUCUGAGCCAAAUGAUCAUACGAGAAUAUCCUAGACACCCACAUUGACCAAACAAAAUUAAUCAAAUACAAUCAAACAAAAGACACACAUUAGAUAGAUCAGAUGCAUCAAAAGUUCAAUCCUUUAAAUCCUCAAGAUCCACCAGGCUUUAUUGAAUUGACAAUCUCCAAACCAAAAAAUAAAAAGAGAGAGAAAGAGCUAGUAAAAGUCAAUAGCUUUACCGAUUAGUGAGAUACUCAAUCUUGGGACAUAUGUUGGCAAAUGUCGUCAAAGAACCCUUCAAUUUAAGCAACCUAAUUGCAGUGUCCAACCCAUUGAAAAAUACCUCCAGAAUCUCGAAUCUGUAAAUCCCAACAACAAAAACAAAAUAUCAAUAAAAAUUGAAAACCUAAAAGAGUCCAACUUUAAGAAGACUGUAUGAACUAAUCAAUCAAUCUCACCUUUCGGGUAAUUUGACAACGAUUUCAGGUUUUGGGGACGAAGAAAAGAUCUGUCUUUUAACGAGUUUGUUAGGAGUCUUGGUAGAGAACAGCAGCUCCGGGUUCGACGACUCCGAGACCAUAGCUUGCUUCACUGAUUCGAUUCCAGAAGAGCUCAUUGCUGAGAGGUUAGGGAAGUGAAGUUUUCAGAGUCAAAGGGAGAGAGAGAGAGAGAGCAACGGCUAGUGUAAAUUAGGGUUUUUAAGGUGAACAAGAGGUGGAAGAAGAAAGGUGUAAAAUUUGCCACGUCACUAAACCGAUUAUAAACGUUGGUUCCCGCUAAUUUCCUUGCUCUCUCUUGUUAUUUGUAUAUUUUUCUCUAUUAUUUUACAAAGUAACUAUGGUUAAAUACAAUGUAUUAUAUUCUACUAAUGUUAAUUAAUCCUUACAAAAUAAUGUAUGAAAAGGGAUCAAGAAUAUUGAAACGAAUAAAAUUUAAAUUCUCUACUAUUUAUGAUCACAAUAAUUAUCUUGCGACUGUUAAAGUUUUGUAUUCUCUUACAAAUUCAGCACUAAAUUCGGACAAAUUACCAAAAAAAAAUAAAAAUUAACAGCUCAUGUGUCCGAAUAUUAUUUUUCUUCACCUAAGAAUAUACGAAAUUAAUACUUAAAACGACUUUUUUUGUAACCAUGUGUGACUCUUAAAAAUAUGGAAAAAGACAGUAAAACAAAAAGGAAAAUUAUAACCGCAAAACAGAAGAACCAAGUNNNNNNNNNNNNNNNNNNNNNNNNNNNNNNNNNNNNNNNNNNNNNNNNNNNNNNNNNNNNNNNNNNNNNNNNNNNNNNNNNNNNNNNNNNNNNNNNNNNNNNNNNNNNNNNNNNNNNNNNNNAAAAAAAAAUAUGAUCACGUAUAAGUAGGCCGUUCCCGACGCUGCCUCUCUUUCAUUUCACAACCCAUUUCUUAUGUCUUUUUCUUACAUUUUCUGAAACCAAGCAUCAAAACACAGAUUUACAUACUCUUCUCUCUUCUUUUUCUUCCUCUGAGACAAUCCCACACAUAAGAGAUUGUUUUGCGAGAAAGUAAGCUAAAUAAAAUACUCUUUCUGUAAGUUUCUUCUUUCAUUGUUAUGUACUUUUAUGAUUUGUUGUUUGAAUGAGACAAGUGAGGUUAUAUAUGCAACCGUUUGGUUCUUUGUUUUUGUUUAAUUCUGUUACCGCAAUCUCUUACUAGAUUAGAGAUAUACAAGAACUUUACGAAAUUGUUGAUGAUACGUUUUUUUGGUGUAUGUGUGGUAUUGUGUAGUGUCUAUUAUGCUUUCGUAAACAUUCUUUCUUGGAUCAUUUUUUUCCGGCAAAAUUACAUUGAAAGGUUUCCUUGUCGUUGAGCUUGGUUUGUCUUGUAAUGGAGAUUUUACGGAAUGAUUAAAUUUUCUUGUCGGUCUGCGUCACCAUCUUACUUCUUGCCCCUUUUUCAGUUCCACGCGUAACAAGUCAACCUUUGCACAUACCCCAAAAAGACACUAAAAUUUUGAUGAAUCUCUUCAAUAAUUUUUUUUUUUGUUAUAAAAUCUUGGAUUCUAAUAGUUCCCUUUCUACUAAUUAAUAAAAUGUGUGGGGAACAGGCUUAUGAGUUAUGAUGCUGAUUGUGUUUUCUCAAAAUUAACACAGGGAAUAAAGAGAAAGAGAGCAAUGGCAGGAGAUCAACUAAACGUGCUAAAUGCACUCGACGUUGCCAAAACGCAAUGGUACCAUUUCACGGCGAUUAUCAUCGCCGGUAUGGGAUUCUUCACCGACGCUUACGAUCUUUUUUGUAUCUCCCUCGUCACUAAGCUUCUUGGUCGCAUUUACUACCACGUGGACGGCGCAGAGAAGCCCGGAACGCUGCCUCCAAACGUCUCCGCUGCGGUGAACGGAGUCGCUUUUUGUGGUACACUCGCCGGCCAGCUCUUUUUUGGCUGGCUUGGUGACAAACUCGGGAGGAAAAAAGUUUACGGCAUGACCCUCAUGGUCAUGGUCCUUUGCUCCGUCGCCUCCGGUCUAUCCUUUGGGAGUGACCCUAAAACAGUAAUGACCACGCUCUGUUUCUUCCGGUUCUGGCUUGGUUUCGGCAUUGGUGGUGAUUAUCCGUUAUCCGCCACGAUUAUGUCCGAAUACGCCAAUAAAAAGACCCGUGGUGCUUUCAUAGCCGCGGUUUUUGCCAUGCAAGGGUUUGGAAUCUUGACCGGAGGGAUUUUUGCCAUCAUUGUGGCUGCUGCUUUCGAGGCUAAGUUUCCAUCUCCAGCGUAUCAAGUGGAUGCCUUGGCAUCUACGGUUCCUCAGGCAGAUUACGUGUGGCGGAUCAUUCUGAUGGUGGGAGCUUUACCAGCGGCAAUGACGUAUUACUCGAGGUCGAAGAUGCCUGAGACCGCACGGUACACGGCUCUUGUGGCUAAGGAUGCGAAACUAGCGGCGUCGAACAUGUCUAAGGUUUUGCAAGUGGAGAUCGAAGCAGACCAGCAGAAAAGUGAAGAUAAGUCCAAUUCAUUCGGCUUGUUCUCCAAGGAAUUCAUGAAACGCCAUGGCCUACACUUGCUCGGAACCACAAGCACAUGGUUCCUACUCGACAUUGCCUUCUACAGUCAGAACCUUUUCCAGAAAGAUAUUUUCAGCGCGAUCGGAUGGAUCCCUCCGGCACAGACAAUGAAUGCGAUUCAAGAGGUUUUCAAGAUCGCACGUGCACAAACCCUAAUCGCCAUGUGCAGCACGGUACCCGGUUACUGGUUCACAGUGGCCUUCAUCGACGUGAUUGGUAGAUUCGCGAUACAGAUGAUGGGUUUCUUCUUCAUGACCGUCUUUAUGUUCGCUCUCGCCAUUCCUUACGACCACUGGACUCACAAGGAUAACAGAAUCGGAUUUGUGGCAAUGUACUCUUUAACAUUCUUCUUCGCAAACUUUGGACCCAAUGCAACAACUUUCGUCGUCCCCGCUGAGAUCUUCCCGGCUAGGUUUAGAUCAACCUGCCAUGGCAUUUCCGCAGCGUCUGGAAAGUUAGGAGCAAUGGUUGGUGCGUUUGGUUUCUUGUACUUAGCGCAAAGUCCUGACAAGAACAAGACAGAGCAUGGAUAUCCUCCGGGCAUUGGAGUCAAGAACUCGCUCAUUGUUUUGGGUGUGGUUAAUCUUUUGGGGAUGGUUUUUACACUGUUGGUUCCUGAAUCUAAAGGAAAGUCUCUCGAGGAAAUGUCCGGUGAGAACGAGCAACAUGAUGAAAUCAGCAGCACCAGCAACAACAACAGUAACAACACGGCGCCAGCCACUGCAUAGAGAUUCUAAAACACUUUGUUUUUUUAAUAUUUUUCUCUCUACCUCUCUUUCCUUCUUCAGAUUUCUUCUCACAAGCUACUCAAAUCUGUUCUUUAUACUUAUUAUUGAUCGUUAAAUGCAAUAGGAUCUAAUUCUCUUACAUAUCUGUUCUGGUUUGGUUUUAGAAUUUUUAGAACCGCUUUCUGAUGUUCUUUAUGAAAAAUGAAAAUAGAGUAAACGGAAAGCUCAUAUGAUGUAACUGUGUUUCGAUACUGAACUAGAGAAGAAAUGUUAGACUCAAACAUCCAAACAGUAACACUAAGCAAAAUUGUGUAAUAGUGGUUGUAAACAAAAACUGCAUUGUUUCAGUUUCUUUAGCCAAACUCUGUUCAAUCAAACACAAAACACUGCAUUUUUCAUUUUAUAAACACAAAACACUGCAUUUUUCAUUUUUAUAAAUGGUCCCAUCAGAAUGGUACUAUGCGCAGUGUGAAAAUAGGAAAUAUGUUGCAGGUUGCUUCUUAAGGUGUAUAUGACAGAAAGAGUAGGAGAAAAUGAAGGUAAGAUAAGACAAAGAUACAAGUAUUUUCUUAUACUCUCUAUACAUAUCUUUUGAGUAAAUGAUGGACAUUACAUGAAGUACAACUAGACACAAUACAAUUCACUGGCUGUGAAUAUCGAAAUACACCAAUAUUAAAAGAAUCAACUAUAUAAAACUUGGUAUACAGGCGCUUUCGUGUUCAGAGACCAGCUGAAACUAAACCAUGCAAUGUUACAAUUCCAAUCAAGGUGUUGUCAUCAUUGACCACAGGUAGAAACUGUACAGGCGAAGGUGGUGACUCCAUUUUUUUCAUAGCUUCGACUGCCAUUGUUUCCGGUCCAAUUGUUCUAGGCUUCCUGUUUCAACAAAUGAUUCAAAAUCAUCAAAACACACACCAACCAACGUUCAUAGGGUAAGAAAAGCAGAGUUUUCCUCACCUGUUGCACAUUUCUCCAACACUGAGUUUGAAGAUUGCUUCUCCACUUGCCUUGAGAGUCCGGCGAAGAUCUCCAUCUGUGAAUGUACCGAUCAAGCGAUGAUGUUCAUCAACCACAAGCAGACAUCCACAUCCUUUGCUGGUCAGCUCCACUAGUUGAUCCAUUAUCAAGUCUCCUUCUUUGCACACAGGAAGCUCUUCUUGCUUUUUCAUUACAUCUUUCACCUACAAACACAUCCAAUAGAUCCAUAUUCACUCCCAUUGUUGAAUUGAUCACUUGGAAUGUUUAUAAACCAAACCUACAUAUUCUUAAGCUUAUCUAAAGCCAAAUCAGAACACUUAGAUAAUCGAACCAAACCUUGAAGAUUAAGCUCUUGCCGAUCCUACCGGCGGGAUGAUUAGAUGCAUACUCCUCCUUGGAAAGAUUUCUGGCCGCCAUGAGAGCAACGGCGAUGGUAUCACCAAACACCAUCUGGAUCGCCGUAGACGUCACGGGAGCGAGAUUAAACGGACACAAUUCUCUCUGAAGAGGCAAAUGCACAUUCAUAUCACAAACAGCAGCAAGUGGAUUCCCAGAAACAGAGGUAAGAGACACCAAAAAGGCUCCUUUAGCUCUAGCGCAAGGGACAAGACGGAGAAGCUCCUCAGUGGCGCCAGAUUUGCUGAAGAAAACGAGAACAUCUCGAGGAGAAAGGGCGCCAAUGUCUCCAUGAAGCGCAUCGAGAGGUGAGAGGAAAGAGGAACGGAAGCUGAGAGAGACGAGCGUUUGGGAAACCUUGUUGGCGACGAAAGCGGAUUUACCGACGCCGGUGAAGAAGACGGUGCCGGCGGUGGAGAGGAGAAUGCGUGAGAAAUCUAGGGUUUGGGAGAGAUCGAGAUGUUUGAAAAAGUGAUUGAGAAGAUCUUGCUGAGAUGUGAAGAGGUUGAGGAGAUUCUCGCGGGAGAUCUCUUGAUGAUGUUGGUGGUGGCUGGCUCCGCCAUUUUUGAGGGAAUUGUGAUCGAUUGAUGAGAAAUCCAGGGAUGUCGGUGGAAGAGAUCCCAUUGUUGGAUCUGCGAGGGAGCUUGAUUUGGAAUGAUUUGAUUGCUUUGUGCUGCGAGAGGGAGAGAUAGAGAGAUCUCCUAGAGUGUAUUAAUGGAGACGGAGGGCAAAUUUGUAAUUUUACCGGGUUAUUCCGUUUUCGUGAUCGGUGGUAAUUACAGCGGAGGUGUGUAUAAUUAGUUCAGAUCUUUUUUCGUUGCAAAAUUUAAAUACUACUACUACGGCCGGAAACUAUAAAGGUGUUCCAACAAAUGUUUGGUUCGCUUUUGGUUUUAAAUUCAUUUCCGAUCCGGUUUAAACUCUAUCUAUUUUUGGUUUUACAAUUUAUUUCAUAGUUUAAAAUCAUCUCUUUCUAUUGAAUGUGUUUUGAGUUCCAUCGUCCAUUGUGUUGUAUAGAAGUUGAUCUAUUCUAAGAAAAGAAGAAAACAACUAGAGAUGGAACUUGUAAGGGAUCAAGAAUAGGAAUUAGAUGACUUCAAAUAUAUUUCCUCCUCUUUUUAGCUAUUGUUAUUAAAAAUCAGCUUUGAGUCAGGUAAUAAGAAGAAUGGCCUUCAUACAAAGAAAUGUUUUCUUCUUAACAAACCCCAAAAGAUGUUUAAUCUGUAUAGAAGAAUCUAUAGAUUAAAACCUAGACAAACACGUGCUAAUACAGAAUUAUAGGUACAUAAACAAAGUUUUUAAAAAACAUAAGUGAGACAAGUGUUAUUGUGUGUCAUUAGUAUCACCCUGAUCCCUGAAACAACAACUUACUACAAAUCUACUGUGAAUCUUUGGGGUGGUCUCUGAUCAUCUCUGGUUUUGAUCAAAAGAAGUGAGAAAUGAGAAAAGUCACUGUUUUCUUUAACGUUUCAGAGGUAACUACGUAAGGUUCCAACAUCUCCAUCAUCGAGUGAGUAAACUGG